rnacentral:lncRNA from 1 species
CCUCCUCCUCCUCGGCACCGCCCAGCUCCGCAAAGCUCACCAGCGCCGCCGACGGCCCCACCCGCAGCGCCACUCACUCCGCACGUCCCUUGCGCGCCGCCGCGUCACGCAGCUCUCCGCGCAGGCGCGCGGUGCGCUCCCCGCCGAGGCUCCCCUCGACGCCUGGGCCGCCGCGCAACCGCACUGGAGCGGCUUCUCCCGCUGCCGUCUUCGCGCAGGGUUGAGUUUGUGCAUCGAUUGUGAACACAACAGGCAGCAGGCUAUAAUGGUGGUCCUGGCUGGAGUAGUUUUCACAGACUUCAGUAAUCUGUGGAGAUGAACGGGCAGUUCUCUGUAGUUUUCACAGAUCACUGCCAGUUCGUUUUGAGGCCUUCAGGAGUGAAGACCUGGCUCAUCAUCACUCUUUGUUGUUUUGUUAAAUUUAUUUACACCCUACUUUAUUCCAGAGGAAAGGAUUUAACGUAGUUUACAUAAAUGUGUACAUCAGGGUAAAUUAAAAAUAAGUACAGAGAAAAAUAGGACAAAAGAAAACCGUGAGUGUGAAAGAUAAGAUUAAGCCAGCAGUUUUGUAUGCAAAAUGCAUGGUGUAAGGUCCUAUUGGUUUGCUGGAGGUAGGCCACACAUAUGACUCUCAGUUUUCUAGCAACCAAGAAAAAGAUCAGUUGCAAUCGGAGUAGGUGUUUUGGCUAAGCUGGAACUAGGACUUGAAUAUAGCAGCUUGUAGAGUUAUACCACUUGCCCAAAUCUCUUCCAUGAGCCUCUUUAAGUGUAACAGAAUGCCUGGGAGCACGUAAAUGCUCCUACUUAGAUGCCUACUUAGCCUCUAAUUUUCAUGGGGCCCAUGAAUCCCAUGAAAAAGAACUUUGAACCCUGUCCACAAUUAGAGUUCAGGUAUACGCAGACAUGUUUAAAGACAAGGGACACCCAAAGGAAAGAUUGCACAGAGAGAAAGUGAGCAUCCGAGAGAAAAUCACCACAAGUGAGGCAGAGGGAGGCCGGUCUCAGCAGAGUUUUGGAGGUCGUGAGAAGAAGAGGUAGGAGAUAGGAGAGUGGUUCCGAGUACUUGCCUGCUGAUGUUACCUUCUCCACCCCCACCAGGUUUUCCAGUGCCUGGAGUCUUGGGCAGGAAUGGGCCACUGUAAGAAAGAGCUUUAUCACUAGGGCCUCAGCCAACUUUUCUGUGGGAUAUCCCUCCAAAAUAAUUAAGAGUUCAGAAUGCUUCAGAUUUUGAAGUGAAACUGGUACAUAUAUUAAGUGUUACUUAAUAACCCGAUAGUUUCUAGGGCAGCUCACCAUAAUCCCAAGUAUUAGCCACCACCCUCACCCCCUUCAGAGUAAAAUGUGUUUCCUGAAGGAAGUUGGGAAAAUGAAGAAAAAAAAUACAAAAAUCACCUAUAAUCUUACCAGUCAUAGAUGGCAGUUUUCCUGUCUUAUUUCUGAAUAAUGGUUGUUAAACAUUUGCCAGCACACCAUAAGGCUUAGGGAGGCAUCUGGGUCAUGCAUGUUAAUAUCCUUGGGUAAUUCCAGAAAUCUCUAUGAAGGGAAACUCCUGUUAUUUAUCUAGACUUCCUGAUUGCAAGGGGUUUGGGCAUCAUGAUUUAGGGGUCUUAAUAAAAUUAUUAUUUUAUUUUUACUAAUAGAUAAUGUCUGUGCCUAUCAGAUAAAGGCAAACCAGUGCUCAGAGGAACCCAACCAUCUCUGAAUUGAGACCAGAGAGCUGUCUCUAUGGAUAGUCCUUAGAGAAGGCAUUUCGGAACACAGUAAACAGCAGCCUGGUGACUCCGAUUACAGGGCCAGUUGCCUUUGUUACAAUAAAAGCAAGUCAUCUACACAGAUUUUUCCUACCAGGAAGAGCAUGUGCUGACCAACAGACAUGAAUUUCAGCCUGGUAGUUACAACAUUCACAGGAGUUUCACUCGUUGCCCAGGCUGGAGUGCAACGGCGCGAUCUCAGCUCACUGCAACCUCCGCCUCCCCAGUUCAAGCGAUUCUCCUGCCUCAGCCUCCUGAGUCACUGGAAUUACGGGCGCCUGACACCACGCCCAGCUAAUUUUUUGUAUUUUUAGUAGACAUGGGGUUUCACUAUGUUGGCCAGGCUGGUCUCGAACUCCUGACCUCAUGAUCCUCCUGCCUCAGCCUCCCAAAGCACUGGGAUUACAGGUGUGAGCCACUGUGCCUGGUCCAUUAAAAACAUUUGUAAAGCUAUGGUGUUGAUAAAGUAUUAUGAAAGACUGCAAAAAAAGAUGGCUAAUUUUUAGUUAUUAUUGCACAUGUUUAGAGGAGCUAAUGACAUUUUCUAUGAUUAAUAAAAGACAUUAUUUAUGUUUUUAUUUAUGUAUUCCACAACAUUUAUUUUAUUUUCUCCAUUUCAGGAAAACCACUAUGUUGUUACAAUAAAGAUUUUCAUGUAAUUUGUGUUCAAUUGAUAGUAAUAAUGUAACAAGUUAAAAAUGAAGGUAAUUGUGUUUAAAAUUUGAGCAUAUUUUCAUCAAAAUGUAAGUUAAAGUGAUUGUAAAUUUUAAGAUCAUAAUUACUUUGUAUAUCUUCAAGAAAAUUAUUGUUUUAAAAUAUUUAUGCCUAUUAAAAUUAGAAGGCAAAAUAAAAAUAUAUGAAUACCAACAUUUUAAAUAAAAAUCAUUUAAAUAA